rnacentral:rRNA from 1 species
AAUCAACGCUGGCGGCGUGCCUCAGACAUGCAAGUCGAACGAUUAAACUUCCCUUCGGGGAAGAUAUAAAGUGGCGCACGGGUGAGUAACACGUAGGUAAUGUACCUUUGGGUGGGGAAUAACUUAGGGAAACUUAAGCUAAUACCGCAUAAUGCAGCGGCUCCUUCGGGAGACAGUUGUUAAAGAUUUAUCGCCUAAAGAGCAGCCUGCGGCAGAUUAGCUAGUUGGUAAGGUAACGGCUUACCAAGGCUGCGAUCUGUAUCCGACCUGAGAGGGUGGUCGGACACACUGACACUGAAUAACGGGUCAGACUCCUACGGGAGGCAGCAGUCGGGAAUUUUGGGCAAUGGGCGAAAGCCUGACCCAGCAACGCCGCGUGAAGGAUGAAGUCUUUCGGGAUGUAAACUUCGUAAGAAUAGGAAGAAUAAAUGACGGUACUAUUUGUAAGGUCCGGCUAACUACGUG